CCCUUAGAUGUCCUGGGCCGCACGCGCGUUACACUGAUGUAUUUCAACGAGCUUAUAACCUUGGCCGAGAGGCCUGGGCAAUCUUGUUAACGUGCAUCGUGAUAGGGAUAGAUUAUUGAAAUUAUUAAUCUUGAACGAGGAAUUCCUAGUAAACGCAGAUCAUCAAUCUGCAUUGAUUACGUCCCUGCCCUUUGUACACACCGCCCGUCGCUACUACUGAUUGGACGUUUAAGCAAGAUUUUUAAACACUGACAGUGUGUAGUUCACGCUAUACUACAGUGAGAAGAAGAAGAUCGAGCUUACUUGUCUAGAGGAAGUAAAAGUCGUAACA
rnacentral:rRNA from 1 species